UCUGAAUACUUGGUCCAUUCACUAAGUUUACCAAAAUAAUUUCCAAAAGACUACUACAUUUUUCUUUUCUCCUAGAACUGUAGAUCCUCAGAUCUUUGAAGACGGAGGUGUCAGGGAUUCUCUGCAUGGUACAUUUAGCCCUGAGGAAAUUGGACUCACCCCUGACUGAAGGAAUUCGGGCAAGCCCAUUUGGAUCAGCGUUUGCAUAAGAUUAAACCCCUUUCUGGAGUUUGUGUUUAGAGAGACUAUCUCAACCCCAUUGCCGGGGACAGGCAAUGCCAGAAUGUGUUUAGGUGUGUACAAUGCAACCUAAGAAGAACAGUGAACGUUAAAGGGAUUCGUGAUCCAUCACAGGGAGGCAGAAUGGAAGCUGUUGAUGAGAAGGGAACAGAAGUGGGAAUAAGAUUCCAGGCCAGGCUGAGAUAGAAGAGAGAACACGCGCAGAGUGGAAUUUAAUGCUUACGAGUGGAAUUACCUACGGGGACUCUUACAUGUUUUAUAAAUGAGACAGCAGAGCCAGAGGGUAGCUAGAAGAAGGGGAAUUUUCUCUCAGAG
rnacentral:lncRNA from 1 species